ACGUCUGUUCUGAAAAGUUGAACUCUGGAGGAUGCUUGGGCACUAGAAGGAGUGAAGGAAACAGACUCCAUCAAGACCUCCCAGUCUGAACAGGAGACUUGCACUGCAGGAACGUUUUUCUCUCUUGCACAACAGUGGCCUGAACCACAACUGGGUUCUCUUGGGCUCUGUGUUAGUCUGUUGUCUUAAGACAGCUUGUGGCUGAUCUACUAGGUAAGAAUUCCAUUUCUGAGUAUUAACAUAUUCUUGAAAAUACCACUGUGAGUACAAUGAGCUGGUUAUUCUGAUCCCACUGUAGGCAGCUGUGCUACAGGUAGAAUUCUUUCUUAUUUCCCUACUAUAAUGCCUUAGUGUAAGGAUCAUUUCAGUGUCAGUGUAUAGAGCUGGUAUGGGCUCCUUCAAGUUCUCAAUAGAUUCAGUUUAUGUUUCUUCAGUGA
rnacentral:lncRNA from 1 species